GUUAAACGUGUCUAUGUGUCUUCCUGUUAUUGGAUUGGUAUUGGAAAUUUGAGUCGAGACAAAAUAAUUUAAAUUAGACAUGAUAUGUAAGAUGAUGUUUUGUAGUGCGAACAAGUCAAAUACGCAUUAAGAGUAUUAAAAUAUCCUUAAAUGUUCACUAAAUACUACUUGUCUUCCUGCACAUCUAAAGAUAAUAUAAAAUAAGGCGAUUGUAUUCGGCGACUUUGUAGAUGUAUUUUUUUCCACGUAAAAUUGCCACUUCAAGCUGAUCAUUUUUCUGCACUUCAAACACUUCCUGGAGAAUUAAUUGAUUGAUGAACUCUGUUCUUCUUCCAGGUAUACCAUAUAUUUUUUGACAGGUUUUUUGUUUUGUCCGUUUUAAAGUUAUGCAUGCGGCGAUCUUCAGUUUUUUAUGUUUGCUUCUAGUCGUAAGUGAUAAAUCUGCUUUUAACAUUCCACCAGUAGGCACAGAAAAGAAUCGAUGAUUGGUUACGUCAAAGGGAGAUGUUUGUGAAGUUGUUUUCCAUGUGUAUGAUUUUGUUUCAAAUUUUAAACUUUUGAAGUUGAGGUUGUAUGACCCAACGUACACUGUUGGUUUUGCAACUGUGCAAAACACCCAUAUCAGCAUAACUAAAGAUGUCAACUGAAUGACCGAACACUCCAU
rnacentral:lncRNA from 1 species